rnacentral:rRNA from 1 species
CAAGUCGAACGGUAGCACAGAGAGCUUGCUCUCGGGUGACGAGUGGCGGACGGGUGAGUAAUGUCUGGGAAACUGCCUGAUGGAGGGGGAUAACUACUGGAAACGGUAGCUAAUACCGCAUAACGUCGCAGGACCAAAGAGGGGGACCUUCGGGCCUCUUGCCAUCAGAUGUGCCCAGAUGGGAUUAGCUAGUAGGUGGGGUAACGGCUCACCUAGGCGACGAUCCCUAGCUGGUCUGAGAGGAUGACCAGCCACACUGGAACUGAGACACGGUCCAGACUCCUACGGGAGGCAGCAGUGGGGAAUAUUGCACAAUGGGCGCAAGCCUGAUGCAGCCAUGCCGCGUGUAUGAAGAAGGCCUUCGGGUUGUAAAGUACUUUCAGCGGGGAGGAAGGUGUUGUGGUUAAUAACCACAGCAAUUGACGUUACCCGCAGAAGAAGCACCGGCUAACUCCGUGCCAGCAGCCGCGGUAAUACGGAGGGUGCAAGCGUUAAUCGGAAUUACUGGGCGUAAAGCGCACGCAGGCGGUCUGUCAAGUCGGAWGUGAAAUCCCCGGGCUCAACCUGGGAACUGCAUUCGAAACUGGCAGGCUAGAGUCUUGUAGAGGGGGGUAGAAUUCCAGGUGUAGCGGUGAAAUGCGUAGAGAUCUGGAGGAAUACCGGUGGCGAAGGCGGCCCCCUGGACAAAGACUGACGCUCAUGUGCGAAAGCGUGGGAGCAAACAGGAUUAGAUACCCUGGUAGUCCACAGCCGUAUACRAUCUCUACUUGGAGGUUGUGCCCUUGAUGCGUGGCUUCCGGAGCUAACRCGUUAAGUCCACCGCCUGGGGAGUACGNCCAGCAAGGUUAAAACUCAAAUGAGUUGACCGGGGCCGCACAGCGGUGGAGCAUGUGUUUUAUUCGAUGCAACNCGNNNAACCUUCCUACUCUGGAAUCUUAG